UCUUGCCUCUUGAGGAAAAUAAGAUUUAAUUUGAAUUGCUUAGGGUGGGGCACUGAAAUUUUUACACCCAGUUGCUUAAAAAUUAAACUCUUGAACAGAUGUCCCACUUGCAUCUUGGUAUGCUGGUCCUACUUGGGUACCUAGACAAUUGGCUUGAAAACUUUAGCCUGGAGGGAGAAAAGGGGAAUGAACACUGCCAUUCUGCUCGAAGUAAUUAAAAGCAAUAUUUUCUUUUUUUCCUCAAGUGCUACUCCCAAGUACAGGUGAGUUACGAAACGGAUUUCAAAAUUUGUCUAUAAAAAUAAUCACUUGGUGCUUGCCUUUAAUUGUUAGGCUUUUUGGCUAAUUUCCAGCAUAUUGCUCAGGGCAUAUUAUGCCUUAAUAAAACAGUGGGUUCAUGCAAGAAAAGCAGCAGUGGUAUUUGGAGGGUGGAAAUUGAUUCAAGAAAGUGUUGCUUCUAAGUUUAUAGGAGAAAGUUUAGUGUUACACUUAUUUGCUUCCACCUAAAUUUUCAGCAGAAACGCUUUGGAAGCAAUUAUGAUUCAUUUUAUGAGAAAAUGGCACGUUAGCACCUUGUUCCCUAAAGAACAAAGCCUAAACUGAAUGAAGUAUAGUAGAUUUCCUUCUGAAUGCAUACUUGUUUUUGUUUUUCUUUUUCUUUUUUCUUUUUUUUUUUUAAUUCAGCUGUCUACCAUUUUAACUUUGGCUUGUAUGUACUCUAGUUGCCCUGGUAUUUCUCUAUAGCUUUAGAAAUGUAUUGAAACUAUGCUAUAAUUGCUGAGGGACAAAAAUAAAUGGAUGUAAAACAAGAUCCUCCACACCAGUGUCAUUCUUGGAGUACAUGUGUUUGAAGUCUAGUGCAUAACUGCUUUGCUAAGGGGUUUUUAUAACAUGGCUGUAAAAACCUGUUCUGAGACGCAUGAUGUCUUGGCCAUAGAGUCAAUGUCUCUUUUUAAUAAAUAUAUAUAUAUUUAAAUCCAA